UGGGUUUCAUGACGUAGUUAGGAAAUUUAGGGCUUAAAGUUUUUUGCUGCAGCUCAUGAGUGACAUAAAACGCAGAUAAAACUCUGGUCCCUCUGCCCUCCUCAGUCUUGGUCGAGCCACGCCCCCUCUAUAAAAUCAAACGCAUAGUGCUCUGUCUGACCGCUUCGGCCUCCGUAGCCCCGCCCACCAGAAAAGAGCUCCAUAGAGUUCCGGCAUGAAGCCACCGCAGAGACGGCGGAAGGUCCCCGCACGGUACACAGGUGAAGCUACCGGCCCCACAGCUUGGAGCCCCCGCGAGAUGCGGCACCUACUGAGACUACUCCAGGCUCGGCGCGGCCAGCCGGAGCCAGACGCCAAGGAGCUGGCCAAGGAGCUGCGAGGCCGGAGCGAGGCCGAGGUGGUGUCCCGUGCUGGGGGCGGGGCCGGGAAGCCGAAUGGCCGAGCUAAGGUGGAGCUCCGGGGCUG
rnacentral:lncRNA from 1 species